rnacentral:lncRNA from 1 species
AUGAAUGAAUGAUGUUACUUUUAUCUCUGAGCCUCCAUUUCUUCAUCUGCAAAAUGGGGUUAUUAAUAGCCCCUACCUCACAGGAUUGGUAUGAAGAAUUAAAUGAAACGAUGCCUGGACAGCUUCCAGCCCAGUACCUGGCGCGCAGUAGGUGCUCACUAAACCUGAGCUGCGAUGGUCCUUUCCAGGCGCUGUCCACGCCCCGAGGCCUGGGCUCAGGCCGAAGUUGCUCCACAGCACCCCCAGCUGACAGCCAGCGACUGGCAGAGCCCCCAGGCACGGGGGCCCUCUCUCUUCCAGAGAUCUCCAGUGUGACAGCCCAGGCGGCAGAGCCGAGGGUGAGUGGUGGGGGUUCUCCUGGAGCCCUUUCGGGGUAAGAAGGAGGGAGGCCGUGCCCUUGUUAGAACUUCCUGGCCUUCUCCUUAAGUUUGAUCACCCUGCUGAUGUGCUUCCCUCUCAAAGGCAGGGGUCCUGUUCUUCCUGAGUGCAUAGCCAGAUUCCCAAAGGGGAUGAGCUGUCAAUAAGUGAAACUGGGCCGGGCAUGGUGGCUCACGCCUGUAAUCCCAGUAUUUUGGGAGGCUGAGGCGAGUGGAUCAUCUGAGGUCAGGAGCUCCAGACCAGCCUGGCCAACUUGGUGAAACCCCGUCUCUACUAAAAUACAAAAAUUAGCCAGGUGUGGUGGUGCAUGCCUGUAAUCCCAGGUGCUUGGGAGGCUGACACCUGAGAAUCGCUUGCACUAGGAGGCGGAGGUUGCAGUGA